rnacentral:rRNA from 1 species
AGAUUCCUACGGGGGGCAGCAGUGAGGAAUAUUGGUCAAUGGGCGAGAGCCUGAACCAGCCAAGUCGCGUGAGGGAAGACGGUCCUAUGGAUUGUAAACCUCUUUUGUCGGGGAGCAAAAAGGCCUCGUGAGGCCACAAGCGAGAGUACCCGAAGAAAAAGCAUCGGCUAACUCCGUGCCAGCAGCCGCGGUAAUACGGAGGAUGCGAGCGUUAUCCGGAUUUAUUGGGUUUAAAGGGUGCGUAGGCGGACUGGCAAGUCAGCGGUAAAAUCGAGAGGCUCAACCUCUUUCCGCCGUUGAAACUG